rnacentral:rRNA from 1 species
UACGGAGGGGGCUAGCGUUGUUCGGAGUUACUGGGCGUAAAGCGCACGUAGGCGGAUGUGUCAGUCAGGGGUGAAAUCCCGGGGCUCAACCUCGGAACUGCCUUUGAUACAGCACGUCUCGAGUCCGGAAGAGGUGGGUGGAAUUCCUAGUGUAGAGGUGAAAUUCGUAGAUAUUAGGAAGAACACCGGUGGCGAAGGCGGCCCACUGGUCCGGUACUGACGCUGAGGUGCGAAAGCGUGGGGAGCAAACAGG